CGACCGCUGGCGGCGUGCCUAAUACAUGCAAGUUGAGCGCUGAAGGUUGGUACUUGUACCAACUGGAUGAGCAGCGAACGGGUGAGUAACGCGUGGGGAAUCUGCCUUUGAGCGGGGGACAACAUUUGGAAACGAGUGCUAAUACCGCAUAAAAACUUUAAACACAAGUUUUAAGUUUGAAAGAUGCAAUUGCAUCACUCAAAGAUGAUCCCGCGUUGUAUUAGCUAGUUGGUGAGGUAAAGGCUCACCAAGGCGAUGAUACAUAGCCGACCUGAGAGGGUGAUCGGCCACAUUGGGACUGAGACACGGCCCAAACUCCUACGGGAGGCAGCAGUAGGGAAUCUUCGGCAAUGGACGAAAGUCUGACCGAGCAACGCCGCGUGAGUGAAGAAGGUUUUCGGAUCGUAAAACUCUGUUGGUAGAGAAGAACGUUGGUGAGAGUGGAAAGCUCAUCAAGUGACGGUAACUACCCAGAAAGGGACGGCUAACUACGUG
rnacentral:rRNA from 1 species